GAUCAUGGGGCUUAGUUUGAGAUGACCACGAAUGUGAAUAAAUUUAAUCUCUUGACAUAAAGCAAUUAAAAUAAGGAAAUUCUAUUAAUUAGUGCAACUUUUGCAAGUUACUUGUUUUAUUGGAUAAAGAAGGAAAAUUAUAUUUAUGUCCUUAGUAGAACGUAAAGGUAAUUAGAGUAUUUUCAUUUAUUAGUAAGCUAGCUGGGUUUUAAUUUACUAUUUGUUUGGGAUAUUGAAAAUUUGUGUAAGAGCAAACAAGUAGAUUUGGAAUAAUUUUAGCCAAUUUAGUGAGAAGUAUACACGCGAGUAUUUAAAGAUUGUAAAUAUAGAGUAUAAGAUUAGUGGAUGUGCUAACAAG
rnacentral:lncRNA from 1 species